AUGGAAGAACCACCAGCCAAGAAGAGGUGUGCGGCUUUCACUGACAAGGAGUGCCAGGCCAUGAUCGAGCAGAUAGGCGCCUCGGUGGACCCUUUGUUCACGCGUCUCAGCAGCAAUAGAUCCCUGGUGGAUAAGAAAGAGAAGUGGCAGGGAGUGGUGGAGGCCGUGAAUGAAGUGAGCAAGGUGAAGAGGAGCAGGCGUGAUGUGUGGCUGGAGUUUGUGAGGCUGUGGAAGGAGGUGCACAGGAAGGGCAUCCUCGUUCGAAGGGAGGAGAAGGAGCUGGAGAUGGCAGAGGACAAUGGAUAUGAGUCAACUCUUGGCAAUGUUACUCUCCAAUAAUUAAAUUGCAAGUACUACAAAGCUUUAUUAGAUAUUCAAUGAUGCCUUUUGCUGGAGAUGUCUUUCAAAAUCUUCAUCUAAACUUGUGCAAGACUGUUGCAUCAAGGCGAGAAGAAGCUGUAGCAUUCAAAGGUUAAUCAGGAUCUUGGCUGCUCCAUAGUGCGGGGAGCUCACUGCGCACCUCAUUAAAUGUACCAUUGGUCACUGGCAACUGUAGACUUAAUAGUGGUCGCUAUGCACAACCCUGCCUGUGCCUCCACAGACGACACUUCACACAUGCUGAAAUUCACCAAGGUGGAGAAGUUUGAGUGUCUGAUGAACUGGGCUGUCACUGAGGGCCUGGGAUGCUGGUUUAACAGGGGGGACUGCCGCCACACACCAGCGUUUACUACAACAGUCUCUGGAGGUUUCUGAAUGAUGAAUCGACCCUCCCAGCCACAUCCAUACAACCUCCAGCUGGGACCACCACCACUGCCACCACCACCACCACAUCUUUCACCUCCACAGAGUGACCCCCUUGAUACCUGCACACUCACACAGAACUCCAAAAGUACAAAUGCCAUUCCAGAUGUAGGCAACACAUCCAGCCAGAGUCUACAGGAUACAGGAGGUGGGGGAGAUGCAAAUACUGUACAGGGACUAAAAGACACACACACCACUGACAGCAUACCAGUGAGAGAGAGGAACAGCAACACCAACACACCAGUAGGAGGAAUGAGUGAUGUGGAAGGUCUAGGCAGGGAGAUAAAGGAAGAGCUGAAGGAGGUCAAGAUAAUGAGGGACAUGAGUCAGUCUUUCCAGAACAUCAAAAAAACUGACAAGAGUGAUUGCUGUGACCUUGAUGCAAAUGACUGCUGCUCAUAGUGCUGUCAUACUGUAACUUGGCUUUAUAUCUUGAGUGUUUCUGAUGUGUUACCUCAAAUUUAACUUCUUUUUACCCUUUCACUGUGACAGGAAACAAUUAGCAGCUACACAAGCAGUGAGUGAAGUCUUUAUAAGCAUCUGCAAGAAAGUUUGUGAUGAAAAACAAUAUAUUUUGCAAUUUCUUCCCAUUUCAAAGAGUGGAUGAGGCUGUGGAACAAGUAAAGGUGUCUCAAGAGUGAUUGGUGAGUUGGGAAAGAUGUACCAAGUGGCAGUCAAAGAGUUAAGAGGCUCAAGUGUGUGUUUUGCUUAUGUUUUCAUGAUUCUAGUGAUUGUUUAACCCUUCCACAUCCAGAACUGUGAAAAAAAAAUGUUUGCAAGGACAGAAAGAGUGAGAGAAAUGAAAGAAACUAAGUUAAUUUUGUUUCUUCAAGGCUUGAUAACUAAGAGACAAAUACAAAAAUAAGUCUAUAGAUUUACAGAAAGACACAGGAAAAAGAAUGUCCAGUAGUGAAAGGAGGAUUCUGGAUCAUGAAAGAAAAAGAAAAAAAAAAAAAAACAUGAGAACUUUGAAAUGUAGUCAUGGUGAAUGCCCAGAGUGUUUGAGAAUAAGAGUGUUGGUCUGAGAGUAAGGAGAAACUACAGUGUGUGAUGAAUGAAGAGUUAACAAAAUAUUUCAUGAUAUGUUGUGGUUAUUUGUGUUGCUUUUCCUUCCCACUUCUUCACAAACUUAUCUCUGAAACGACUCACUGUGUUCACCUGUAGUUGUAGGAAGGACAGACACUGGAGAAGAGAUCUGUGGCUGCAAAAGGUGGGAGAUUUUUAGGCCUUGCAACUCUACCAGGGAAAAUGAGGGUGUUGGAAAUGAUGUUGGAUGAUUUUAAGUUGCUGGAUGUUGAGGUGAAAGACUACAGCCAUGUCAAAGGGAGUAAGUUAUUGAGAUUUCACAGGCAUGUCUACUUUCACUGUCCCCUCAAUGAAACCCUCACUGGUUACUCAAGGUGCUGUCAGGGAAUGAAAAGAAGUGGUUUUUGCAUGGCUGGGGAGGAAAAAUAUACUACCUCAUGGAAACUUUCUUGUGUUACUUUUUUUUUUUUACCUGCCUCCUUCCACAAGACUGAAAAUUGCAUGAUAACUCAAGAUAUUGAUGUAAAUGUGACUAGUGAGGGUAAGGGGGAAGAACAGUGUAGUACCAGAUAAAAACUCUUCAUUUCUUUCAUGUCCGCUAUUUAUUUAUUUAUCUUUUUACCUUCCCUUCCACAAGACUGAAAAUUGUAUGAUAAUUGUAGAUAUUGAUGUAAAUGUGUAUAGUGAGGGAGUAAAUACUGAUGGCUGGGGAAGAACAGUGUAUUACCAGAUGAAAACUCCUCAGUUCUGUGUAUUUAAGGUUUUGUGCCCAAGUUUCCUUCCACAAAGCUGAAAAUUGUAUGAUAACUGCAGAUACUGAUGUAGAUAUGUAUAGUGAGGGAGUAAAUGCUGAUGGUUGGGGAAAAACUGUAUUACCAGAUGGAAAACUUGUA